rnacentral:rRNA from 1 species
AUACGGGGGGGGCGAGCGUUGUCCGGAAUUAUUGGGCGUAAAGGGCGCGUAGGCGGAAUGAUAAGUCAGAGGUGAAAACUCAGGGCUCAACCCUGAGCCUGCCUUUGAUACUGUCAUUCUUGAGUGCGAGAGAGGAAAGCGGAAUUCCCGGUGUAGCGGUGAAAUGCGUAGAUAUCGGGAAGAACACCGGUAGCGAAGGCGGCUUUCUGGCUCGCAACUGACGCUGAGGCGCGAAAGCGUGGGGAGCAAACAGUAUUAGAAACCCCGGUAGUCC